GUUUUCGUUGGAAAAGUAUCAGUUUGUUCGAUUACACAAACAGUAACAAAUCAAAUCAACAUGAAAUUCAUCCUUGUCUUGUGCGCUUUGGUCGUUGUGGCCUCCGCUACUCCAUUCUACAUUGGUUCCGAUGAAGAAAUCCCAGCUGAUAUGCACUCAAUGGAAGAUCACAGCAUCCCAACACCCAAGCCCGUUAUUGAUAUCGCACCCGCCAAUAUCGCUAUCGAUGCCGUUGCUGAUGCACCUGCUGGCCACACAUCUGGAUAAAUUUAUCAAUUAACUAAAAAUAAUUGAUCGCAUGUUAUGAUUAUGAUUGUUCCUAUAAUAUAAUAAUAAAAUAUUAUAUAUUUCUGCAUAAA